CUUGGUCAUUUAGAGGAAGUAAAAGUCGUAACAAGGUAACCGUAGGUGAACCUGCGGUUGGAUCAUUACUAAAUGAUAACCAUUGGCUUGUUGAUCUCCCUUUGGGGAGAACCUCGCCAGUGGUUUAACAACCUUUGUGCACUAUAAUGUUUUUUGGGCCGUUGCCACCUUUCGAGGAGGUAUUCGACCCAGCCACAAGAACCAACCUUUUAAAUUUGACUUAUAUUUUAUUAUUAAAAUUAAACAACUUUAGACAACGGAUCUCUUGGCUCUCGCAACGAUGAAGAACGCAGCGAAAUGCGAUACGUAAUGUGAAUUGCUUUUAUUCGUGAAUCAUCAAAUCUUUGAACGCACAUUGCACUCUAUUUCGGUAGAGUAUGCCUGUUUGAGAAUCUAUAGUAUCAAUUUUCGAUUGUUAUUUUAGUCUUCGGAUUAUUAUGACUUGAGAAAGAGUUGAGCUUUCCCUUUCAUUAGGGAUGCUUUAAAAUUAUAUAGAUCCUCUUUCUAAGAAGCCGUAUUUACGUACGCUCCAAAGUUGAGUAAAAGUGUUUGCAUGAAACCUAGUUUCUCAUUACGCCUAUUAACCAAUGAUGGAGAGAGUGUUUCUUAGAUUCUGGAGAACCAAACCCUAGGGAUUGAAUUCGUUCAAUCUCGAACCAUGGUCUCAAAUCAGGUAGGAAGACCCGCUGAACUUAAGCAUAUCAAUAAGCGGAGGAAAAGAAACUAACAAGGAUUCCCCUAGUAACGGCGAGUGAAGCGGGAACAGCUCAAAUUUGAAAUCUCACUGGUUUCCAGUGCGAAUUGUAGUUUAGAGAAACGUUUUCCGGGCCGGCUUUGAGUACAAGUUCAUUGGAACAUGACAUCACAGAGGGUGAAAAUCCCGUCUUUGACUCAGAGCUUGGUUCUAUGUGAUACGUUUUCCAAGAGUCGGUUUGUUUGGGAAUGCAGACCAAAAUGGGAGGUAAAUACCUUCUAAAGCUAAAUAUUGGCGAGAGACCGAUAGCGAACAAGUACCGUGAGGGAAAGAUGAAAAGAACUUUGAAAAGAGAGUUAAAUAGUACGUGAAAUUGUCUAAAGGGAAACGCUUGAAACCAGUAUUGUGGGCAGUAAUUCAGCUAAGACUUGUCUUGGUUUAUUUUAUUGUUUGCGAGUCAACAUCAGUUUGAUUCGGAGUAAAAAGCCAUUGGAAGGUAGCCCUCUGGGUAUUAUAGCCUUUGGUCAUGCUCUGGGUUAGACUGAGGACUGCAGCGUUCUUCGGGGAACUAUUCGCCUUUUGAAGCAGCGAGGUUAAAUGCAUGCAGAUAACUUCGUUUGUUAGGAAGCCCGGGUAGCUACUACACAAGCGCUUAGGAUGUUGACGAAAUGGUUUUAAACGACCCGUCUUGAAACACGGACC
rnacentral:rRNA from 1 species